rnacentral:rRNA from 1 species
GAUGAACGCUGGCGGCGUGCCUAAUACAUGCCAGUCGAGCGAACAGACGAGGAGCUUGCUCCUCUGACGUUAGCGGCGGACGGGUGAGUAACACGUGGAUAACCUACCUAUAGACUGGGAUAACUUCGGGAAACCGGAGCUAAUACCGGAUAAUAUAUUGAACCGCAUGGUUCAAUAGUGAAAGACGGUUUUGCUGUCACUUAUAGAUGGAUCCGCGCCGCAUUAGCUAGUUGGUAAGGUAACGGCUUACCAAGGCAACGAUGCGUAGCCGACCUGAGAGGGUGAUCGGCCACACUGGAACUGAGACACGGUCCAGACUCCUACGGGAGGCGGCAGUAGGGAAUCUUCCGCAAUGGGCGAAAGCCUGACGGAGCAACGCCGCGUGAGUGAUGAAGGUCUUCGGAUCGUAAAACUCUGUUAUUAGGGAAGAACAAAUGUGUAAGUAACUAUGCACGUCUUGACGGUACCUAAUCAGAAAGCCACGGCUAACUACGUG